CUUGGAGGAAUGUAUGGGGAAAACUGGUAAAAUGUGAUGUACCUGGUAGUAUUAGAGAUUGAUACGAUAUUAACAAAGUUAAUUAAAAUUCUAUGUAGGUAUUGAUUAUGACAAUAUUUGCUUAUUUCUUGACCAAGUCACGUGCCAGCAGUCGCGGCAAUACGUGGUAGAUUAGUGUUAUUCAUCUUUAAUAGGUUUAAAGGGUACCUAGACGGUUAAUUAGACAUAAAAAGUGUACUAUAAUUAACUAGAGUUUAAUGUAAGAAGGAUUGAGUACGGUGAGUGUAGAGAUAAAAUUCUGUCAUACCACUUAAGGAACUGGUAAAGGCGAAGGCAACCUUUUAUGUAAAAACUGACGUUAAGGGACGAAGGCUCGAAUUAAGUAACAGGAUUAGAUACCCUAGUAUUGUGGGCAGACAAUGAUGAGUGUCAUAUGCAAGACAUGAUGGAUUCGCUUUUGUAUUUAUUAUAUGAAAGUAAAUAUCGUUUUUGUGUAUAAAUGAAAGUGUAAGCACUCCACCUCAAGAGUAACGUGGCAACAUGGGAACUGAAAUCAUUAGACCGUUUCUGAAACUCGUAGUGAAGUAUGUUGUUUAAUUUGUUAAUCCUCAAAGAACCUUACCACAAUUUGUAUAACUUGAACAUAAGAUAUAAGCACUUAUAUAAAUACCUAUAUAAGUAUCUAUAUAUUAUAUCUAGUACAAGUUACAAGCGUUGCACGGCUGUCUUCAGUUAAUGUUGUGAAACUUUGGUUAGAUCCAUUUAAUUGACGUAAACCCUUACUUUAUUUAUUAUAAAGUAGUUCGCCGCUAUAUUGGUAGUGAUAUAAGGGACUAGGAUAAGUCAUCAUGACCCGAACAUUGUGGGCUAUAGAC
rnacentral:rRNA from 1 species